GUCUCAUCUCUCUCCUUGAACCAGGAACAGGCAAAGUGUCGUGGAUGCCAUGGCCACAUUACGAGCUCCGGUUCGAUCUGCCUCCUCGCAUCCGGAUUUGGAACUGCAACCUUCAAACUCCGUGCCCGCGCCCCUCCUAGCCGGCCCGCCGAAGUCGGAACAAGCUUCAGCGAGUAGUAGCAGAAGAAGACCCCGCCAUGCAGCCUAUGCAUCGCGCCGCUCCCUCCCGUGCCCGCUCGCGUUACCACACCAGCCCAAUAAGAUUUGAACAAGCGUGCCGGAAUUCAGGAUCCGUUCAACUACGUCGGUUCGGCUGCUUCACGGAUUCGUUCUUCUUCCAAGCUGGAUCACACGCAAGAUGACCAUUUCCCUAGAUACCAUUACUAUCAAUGCAAUGCUAGUUGUCUCGUUUCUUUUGUUAUGUCUCCCUACCUACCAGAUGUUAAAUGUCAGCCUCUCAACAUUGUCAUGAAAACCUUCAACCUUUCUA